AUAUAUAUAUAUAUAUAUAUAUAUAUAUACAGUGUCGGAUCUAAUCGUCAUCUAUUUCCAGCGAUGAGCCCAGUUGAAUUCCCUAAUUCAAACUGAGUCAAGAUUAGGGAUGUAACGUUUUAGAUCUCCUUCGAAGGUAAUAGUAAAGAUUAUAGGGAAGAAUUUGGAUGACAAGAGCAUCAAGGAUUCAGUCUUCAAUUUGGAAAGUUAGCGAUAAGCAUCCAGGUUAUAAAGCAAGUGAUUCAGACUCAGAUGAAUCGAAGGAUGAUUCUUGAUAAUACGAAAUUGGUUUCAUGACCAAAACAAUUACAAUGAUGUCUGGCUAGGAAGAUGACAGAAAGAUAUUUGUCUGAUGAUGAGUGGGAUGCAGCACGCUUGUAUGUGUUGUUAAAUUGUGAAGAGGUUCAACCAUUUGCAUAUAUCUUUGAAGAUGAGUUGAGAAGAAAUUCACAAGACAUUAGCCUUGAACAAAUUGAUAAAGAGACAAAUAGUAGAUUUGCCAAGUGGUUCAAAGCUUAUGUUUCACCCACAUGAUGUUGUUUGGGAUGUCACAGAAGCAUUUAAAAAGAACUUUCAUGGCUCAUGGCCUUGUUGGUGCAAGAGGAAUUAUUCCAUUAAAGAUGACCAUAAAGAUAUGAUUCGGGAUACAUUUGAGCGUGUGGGGAGUGGAAGGUUGAGUGACACUUUAGGAAAGGCCAAAAAAGCAUUUUCAAAAAUGAAGAAAAUACCAAAGUGGAUUAGUCAAAAUCAUUAGGAUGAUUUAAUGAAGCAUUGGAAUACAGACAAUUUCAAGAAAAUAUCAUCCAUCAACUUAAAGAAUAGAAAGUCGAGCAAUAAUGGAGAAGGUCCAUCCUUACAUACUGGAGGAUCAGUUUCAUUUGAUGAAUAUAGAAGAAGAUAUAAAGAAACAACUAAUCAAGUACUUAGGGAAGAUGAAUGAUACUUGAAGACUCAUAGGACAAAAGAUGAUAAGCAGAUUUGUGGGAUGUCAGAAAUAGUGUGGAAUACAUUCACAAGAAAUAUUAAUCAGAAGGUAGGUGAGACAUCAACUAUAAGAAAUGAAGAUGGUUUUGAAGUACAGGAAAGAGAUGUGGGAUUAAAUAGGGCAACAGAGGAAAAUAAGGUACAAGAAUGCAAUGAUGACAACAAUAUCUUGACUUUGCUACAAAAUAUUCCAAAGGAGCAAGUGUUGAAUACUUGGAUUGACACAAUUGGUGGAGGAAAGAAAGGAAGAGUGUAUGGCCUUAGCUUAAAAACUUCAGUUCUAGGAAAAUUAACCCAUGUUAGUUCUGUCCACUCUAAUGCUCCAACUUCUCCAACUGUCCCUCCCCAACAAGUUAUUGAAACACAUGAUUUUGAGCAAGCAGUUAAUCAUGUGGUGGAUCAACGGGUGGAUAAUUGGGUAGAUUAGCGGAUGGAGCUUCUGCAGGCACGUUUUCUUGAGGAAGGAAAAGUAGUAGUCCAUGCUGUCAUGAGCCACAUGUUUGGUCUCUUUCCAUAGCCACUAAGAAAUGACUCUAGUUCUUGCAAACAACCACCCCCACAUAUUUAGAGUUUAUGCUAUGACUUUUGAAGUGUAAAACAUGUUUUGGCUCUAUGUUAUCAUUUGCUUUUAUCUUCAGAAUAAAGUAUUACUUUUUGCAA